rnacentral:rRNA from 1 species
GAGUUUGAUCGUGGCUCAGAACGAACGCUGGCGGCAUGCCUAACACAUGCAAGUCGAACGAGACCUUCGGGUCUAGUGGCGCACGGGUGCGUAACGCGUGGGAAUCUGCCCAAAGGUUCGGAAUAACUCAGGGAAACUUGAGCUAAUACCGAAUAAUGUCUUCGGACCAAAGAUUUAUUGCCUUUGGAUGAGCCCGCGUCGGAUUAGCUAGUUGGUGAGGUAAAGGCUCACCAAGGCGACGAUCCGUAGCUGGUCUGAGAGGAUGAUCAGCCACAC